rnacentral:lncRNA from 1 species
GGGCACAUCAUCUACUACCACCCACAGUGAAGACUAAGUAUGAGCUGCAUGCACAGCCACAGUGCUGUGUGAUACUGGUGAAGAGGGGAAAAAAAAUCAUACACAGGGAAGUUGCUCAGUAUGUGACAGAAAUCCUCUUUAAGUUACAAAGUUUUGUGUGAAGAGCUGAGCCAUGCCUUUUGUUGAACUGUGGGAGGAGUAGUCACAUGGACAAAAUGCAGGACUCAAAGGUAUUGUCAGGGAUGAAUUACUCACGGACUCAACGUUACCGCCCAGCAUCUGAGUUUGAUGAUGCCACGCUUGCCCGAAAGAGGGAAUACUGGAGAAAAAAGAAACGGGAACAGAGAGCAAAGCUUUCUGCACUCAAGAAAGAGAACCGUGAUGUGGGAAACCCUACUGUCUUCACAUCUGUGCUGGCUGCUUCAGCAGAUCCCAUCAAAAACAUAAUGUUCAUUCCUAGACUCUCCCCUGCACAUACAGUGGAAGACAGCCAAGGCUUUGUCACAACAUAUGAUGAUUUAGUGGAACCCACUUUGCUUAAUAGUGAUGGGUCCUACCAGACAGCAAGUAAUAGUCCUCCAAAUUUGUUCAUGAACACCUCUUUUUCUGUUGUGUCAGAAGAACAUAAGGGAUCAGACAUUUCCCUUGGUGAAAUACAGAGAGACUGGAAGGAUACUGAUGUCAUGACAUCAGUUUCUGCAGAGCAGGUGGUUCAACAUCACAGUUGGCCUUUAGAAAAUGGUCACUUAACCAUACCUAACCAAACUGACAGAUGGUGUCAGAGGGAGAAGCUCCAGAAAGUAUUGCCACAGUUCCCCGAAGCUUGUUCUGAAUCAAUAAAUGAUCCAAGUAGCACUGAUGUUGGCAAGGAAGUGGUCAAGUGCUUGACGGAGGUUGUUAAAGAUGGGACUUUUUCUCCAGCCAAAACUAAUGGAACAUUGUUCAAUAGUUGCUCCCAAGUGCCUGCUGCUCAAAUGCAACCACAGUCAAACAGUUCCUUUCAGUGCCACAUUCAGAAUGAUACAGCCUUUCUCAAUGGCAGCUCCUCAGUAGCCUUGUCUGAGCAUCAUGCUGAGCCUCAUACAGCAUCAGGGCAAUGUAGCAACAAGACAACACAAGUGAACAUUCAGCCCAGGGCUGCAUCCUUCAGAUCAGUGACAGCUAGUGUUUCCACAGAAGGGAAGAUAAGUGGGGAUCCCUCUGGCCCAGUCACAAAUCAGACAUCAAGAUCUAGAAGCACAAACAUAAUGCCGAUUGUGGGGAAAAAAAGCAUCUGUGUCAGAAAGAUCUCAAAAUCUCUAGGGCCCAGGCAAACUAAUGGAAAAAGAGCAACUUUGGAGACUGAGGAGGAGAAAGCAGCCAGGCAAAGGGAGUAUUGGCGGAUUAAAAAGAGAGAGCAAAGGGCAAAGCUAGCAGCUAGUCGGGAAAAAACCAGAGAAAAGACUAAGACAAUAGCCACAAUCUUGCUGAAAACGGAACACUCUUCCUGUAUAGUUGAGCGUCCGCCUUCUGCUUGGUCCAAAGAGCGGCAGAGACAUUCUGCACAUCGUGCUAGGACUCCUCUUACUCCAGUAAGUCUCCAGAGAGCUUCACAACUGCUUAAGAAUGCCAAAGCAGUAGCUGUGUCUUGUUCUGCUCCAAGAUAUUCCAGCAUUGUCGUCCAGGCAGCACCAUCUCAUUCAAUUCCAAUUUCGGGCAAACUACCCACAUCUAACAACAAUCAACUAGAAGUCUCCACAAAAACUGAAAAGUUGUGUGAGAGUACAAAUUUAAAGGGUGUGUCUGCUGCCCGUACCACACGGUCUUCUGUAAAGUUAGGUGCAAGUCUUGCACAUGAGGCUCCUAUGCAGAUUUCAGAAGCUUCUCUUUACACUCAAAAGCUGCAAGAUGGUGGUGGUCGUUGGGGAAUUGUUCGUUCCAAAACACAGAGACCGAGGUUUCUUAAUAUUCAGGCGAGUAUGAGUCAAAGGAGUACAGUGAAAUUCUCCCCUGCUGUAUCCUUAAUGCCCAUACACGCCCAGAGGAGAAAUACAGAGGAAACUAUGGAAGAGAAAAUGGCCAGAAAGCGAGAAUAUUGGCGAAUUAAAAAGCGUGAGCAAAGGGCCAAGCUCUCUGCAGAAGUGAAGGCCAAAAUGAAGGAGAGGGAUGCUGUGAUGAGACGAGUGAAACGUUAUCAGAGUAUUUUAGAGGAGAUGCGCAAGGCCCGAGCUGGAACAGAAGUAGGAGAUAAAGCGCUGCAACCUCAAGGAAAUUUGCUCACUGGAGACACAGAUGCCAUUGGGGGUUUUAUAAAGGAGGACGGCACAGUGACCACAGAGAUUUCACAAGUGGCCAAAGACCUCAGGCUGUCAGAACCAGAAACAAUGUCUGAAAUCCAAUCACUUGGUAGUGUGCGACUCACAAGUGAUGUUUCUACCAGCGUGGGCUUAAUUAGGCGAGUGCAGGUGAAUGUACCACCUGCAUUUGACAGUACCUCUCAGGCGAGGAACUCCAGUCAGCUCACUGUUACGUCACCCCUGGAGCCCCCAAAGCUUGUCCACAGUAGAGUCAAGCCAUUGUUUCGCAACAUUGAAAAAAACAUUCAGUACUCUUCAGGUCUUCCCAAAACUCGUGUGUCUUUCAGGCACCCUCAAACUGUCCGAAACACUUACCCAAAAAUUACUUUGGUCAAGCCAAGAUCAAACUCACCACAGAUUACAAAGGCUGUGGAAAGCUGUUCACCUGUUGGUAUCAAGGAAAGCUCAGAGCUCACAGUAAGUCCUUUGGGCCCCAGGGCUUCUGUUGCAGUACCCAGACAGAAUGUGCAGCUAACUGACGAAGAAAGGAUGGCAAAGAAACGAGAAUACUGGAGGAUAAAGAAAAGGGAGCAAAGAGCAAAGUUUUCAGCUCGAAGAAGUCAAGCAUUAUCACAUUUCAAGCACAGCACACCCUCAGUAAGGCAACUAAACCUGAAGCCAGUUUUAAGUCGCCGUACAACAGCACUGGCUUUGAGCAAAAGAUCUUCAACCAGCACUCCUUUAAGGAAGUUAGAUACACAGUCUUCCAUUCCCUCUCAGGGAAAUGUCAAACAGGAGAACGACUUUACCCUUGCGGGUGAUGAUCAGUGUCCUUCUGCAGAUCGCCCGUUAAGUGAGGAUGUCAAACCCCUUUUACCACCUCCACAGCAGCAGGUGGAAUCUGACCCAGAGCUAAGUAUGGACACCCAGGAAACUACUCUUCUCGCUGUAGCCUCUAUGAAGAAACUCCUGGAAGAAUCCCUGAGCACUGUGCGUGAUUCUAAUUGCUUUUCAUCCUGCAAUGGCGAGGAGCUCCCCUGUAAAAGUGAGGUGAAUGUCCCUGAUCUGGAUAUCAAACCGAACCUGCCUUGUUUCUUGUCAGCAGUUAACAAGGCUAGCCCCUCAGCAGAGACAGAACAUGAUCCAACCUUCAGCAAAGAGUCCCCCAAAGUCAGAGACUGGGACCCUGAGGUGGACAAGAGUGUAGACUCUUUACCUUGUCAGACACUCCCUGAAGUAUCUUCCAGCUUUCAUUCAUGUUUGCCCGAUCAUAUGAGUUAUCAUGAAUCAUCUACAACACCUUCUACAAGUCAGGCUUUCUCACCCACAGAGUCUUGCAGUGAAACUUCUACUCAAACUCCUACUUCCAAUGACAUGAACCCCCCCUCUAUUAAGCCCCUCCCCUCCCAAAGGGUUCUAAGGCCGAAUUUGAAAAGGCCACGUCAGCGUUACUCCCCAGAGCCCUCCAGAAAGGUACAAAUUGCAUCUCGGCCUGAUGAGGAUGUCCUUCAGAAAAAGAGGGAGUACUGGCGGGUGAUGAAGAGGGAACAGAGGGCUAGGAAAGCAGCACGGGAGAAGGAGAUAAAGAAGCAGACAGAAGGAGCCAUGAAGAACAUAAAAAUUACUAACCAGACAUCCAUGCCAUUGGAAGAACACCCACACUGGAGUAAGAAGGACCGCUGCAGGGGCAGGAAGAGGGAGCAGAUGGGCAGUAAGGUGGCACAGAGUGAAGUAAUGAGGGAAACGGGGGCUGCUCGGGGCUGUAAACCCCUCCUCCCUGCCAAAGUAUCACGUGAAACACUAGCACAUCAGGAGCCAAAGCAGAGACCAGAGGUCAGAGGCAUCCAGUCUACUCCUCUCCAAUGUGUUCUCCCCUCUGCUGGCAAUACCCUAACCUGCCUUCAGGGUAUCCCCACCCUCCCUACCCUUCUGGUAGUGAGCUCCACCUCCUGCAGCACAAACCUGUCAACUGGCAGUCUCCAUGUCCAGACCAGCGUCACACAAACAAGCCCAGUAAAAGACGAGAAGCGAGAAGAAGCAACCUCUGACCCUCUGGAGCCUUCAAAGCCAAUACUGUCUCCAGCACAGCUGGAGGAAGACCUCCGCCGCAAGAAGAGGGAGUACUGGAGAGGGCGGAAGAGGGAGCAGAGAGCCAGGAAGGCUGCACGGGACAGAGAGAUGAAGCAGACAUCCAGGGUUUCCCAGCCCAACCUUCCUGUCAGAGUAGAACCUAAAAAGGUGGAACAGCAGGAGCAUCAGUCCAACCAAUGGUUAAACUGCGGAGAAGAGGCUGCUUUACUUCACAGCCCCUCCAGCGUGACUGACCUUGGGCUCCUGCCUCAACUGUGCCAGACUGGAGGAGUGAAAGGUAAAGUCGAGAUGGACCUCAUAGGCAAAGAUGAGGAGGUAGAGGAGGAAGGGCACAUGGGUUUGGCUGCCUCAGCAGCCACCUGGAAGAGCCACUUCCUCAUGGACUAUGAGCCCCUGAACCAGUUACUGGUGUGCAUGGUGUGUGGGGAGCUGCAGCAUUCACACACGCUGGAGGGUGUGCGGGCCCACAUCGAAGAGGCACACCCCGACACACUCAGCCUGGGUCCCUGCGAGCGCCAGCGCAUACGGGAGGCCUGGGAUGAGCAGGUUUCUGUCCGUGAGCGCUUCUACAGCAGCCAGCUCCAGCAGCAGGGCGCUGACAUGGGAGGAGAUUUUCAGGAGAAUGGCGUCCCAGCUGAAGUAGAAGUCCUUGUUGGUCUUGAGGACUUCACAGAUGCAAAAAACGGGAAGUCGUCAAAAAGCAAAAGUAUCAAAAGAGUCUAAAAGCCCAGAACGUCUAGUUGGAAAGAAAAACAAAACCCAGGGACAGCAUGCAGAGCAAUGGAGAGGAUGCAAGAGGGCCUGGGUACUCCUUGCACCAAGCAAAGACGCAUGCUGAUUGAAAGAGUGCAUUUGUAGUUGUUUCACUGACUUUUGCUUUCUUAAAAUAUAUCAACCAAACAGGGCUUAACUGAAAUUUGGAAACAGAGAACCAUGGAAAUCAUCUUUUUUACCUCAUCCACACUGGGCAGGAAACAAGGUUGAAUGUACAUACAAACUGUACUUUGGACUUUUAGACUACAAGGCACAACAGUUACGUACCUCUGCAGGGACAUGGUGCCAUCCACAACAACAAAAUGUGUUCACUUUAACAUGAGAGAUAUAUACGGUAUACUGUACGAUUGCUUGUUAUUUCACAGCAUUCUGCUUUACGCAGAACAUGUUCACAUUGUUGGUAAAUCUGAGUCUCGGCUGACUCCUCGUUCGUAUCCUUCUGCUUAGAGAACCCAUAGUUUUGUUUUGUUUAUCAGAUUGAAUUUUGUCCAGUAGCAAGCAUUUUAUAAAGUUUACAUUUUGGUUAUUUCAAAUUGUGCAAGGACUCUUUACUUGCCAGUAAUGUUGCCAAGGCUGUGGGGUCAAAUAAGUUCCCCAUAGGGUGAAAAGGGUUAUGUGUUAAUGCGGGCUGCUUUCAGAAAGCUAGAUAGCCCCUGGGUAAAUGUGCAAUAAUACUAGUGCCCAGGUGUUGGCUUAUGGUUGUUAGUGUUGUGCCUGUUGUAAUUACUGGUGGUAUACUCCAUGAUGCAAAAUUAACAAAUGCGCACAAAGGGUGAAAGAUAAUUUAAUAACGAUAUCAGGAUAUUUAUAUUCCUUUACACAUACUGGAUAAAUUGGAAAAGACUAUGAUGUCUGAAAUGAAUCAACAAUGUCAUUUAGAAAUAUUGUACAGUAAUUGCAGAAUGCAUAUAAAUCAUUUAUUCAUGUAUUAUAUAUUGCAAAAAUUCUGUAUAGAGUAUUGUAGGUAAUGAAGCUGCCUUUUAUAUGAAGCACAAGGCAUGUGAUGAGACCUGUGAUAUAAAAGGAAUAUAACAGCCUCCUGCUCUGUGGAUUUAGGUGUCACAGUUGUUUUAUAAUUUAUAACAGGUUUAAUAACAGACAGUUCGUUAAACUGCAUCGAGGAUAUCUAGAGCCAAAUGGGAUAACGGUGGUGUAGGUUUUUUAGACAUUUUUCUGUCUUCCAUUUUGAAUAUGACCAUGAUAUCCAUGGUAAAAUUUACAUUAGCUUUUGCUACUGAUAUGCUCCAAAACAUCCCGUUUGGUGUAACGGAGAGGAUGAGCUCAGUUAAGGCAUUACAUCCCAGUGUAACCCCGCUUAUUCCAUCUCUGAGCUGACACACUUCCCCAUAUGUGUUGUUCAUGCACGAGAAUUAUGUAAUUCUACAUAAGACAACACUCAUUUUUUGGUGAGAAAUCAACAGAACUGUCACACCAAGCACCUCUCACCACUCACCAACCACUGUGUGCCAUUCACUGCUCACACAGCCCUGAAGUACUGAGUUCACAAUCACAUUCAUCCGACAGUUUUUGCCAUUUUUAUUUUACAUCACUGGAACAUCAUCUACAUGACCUCCUCAUCUGAAAUUGUUUUACAUUGUGUUUUUAAUGGUAAUUUAUAAAGAAAUGUAUAUAUUUGUGUAAACAAGGUAUAUUUAACAUGAAAUAUCUAAAUAAUACUUUACAGGAAAUUUUCUUUCUGUGCUUGGGCUGUUCUUAUAUUUUUGGCACCAAGCACAUUUUCUCAUUGGUAUGUCAUUCUGGAAUAUACAUACUGAAUGCGAAUUCUGCAUGAAUCAGUUACAGACCUGAGCAUUAGCUACCAUUCAUGAAAAUCUCUGGGACAAAUCUGUGUAUAGUGCAUUUUUAUGAAUAAAAUCCCACUGGGCACAGUUUGGUGUCCA